UACAGAGGGGCAAGCGUUGUCCGGACUUACUGGGCGUAAAGCGCACGCAGGUGGCCGCGCAAGUGUUGUGUGAAAGCCCCGCGCUCAACGCGGGGAGGCCACGACAGACUGCGCAGCUUGAGGGAUGCAGGAGGGUGGUGGAAUUGCCGGUGUAGUGGUGAAAUGCGUAGAGAUCGGCAGGAACACCAAGGCCGAAGGGAGCCACCUGGGCAUCGCCUGACACUCAUGUGCGACAGCGUGGGGAGC
rnacentral:rRNA from 1 species